CAAUUGGUUGCCACCUGGGAUGGAACCCACAACCUAGUGCCCUCUUCUUCCCUCGGCACCUCCCACAACCACAAGCCUGAGGCUCUGAGUCAACAUGGAAUUCACAAGCAUUUUUGAGCUACUUCUACUGUAAUGCCAAGCAACGUGCGUGUAUGUAUGCAGUAGCUCUUCACCAGGGACAUGCAUGGCCAGUCCUGUGAGCAAAGGACACAAGGAUAUUAGGUAGAUCCUACAGUCCACCACAGUCCUCAGCAGUCCCCAGGAUUUCUGCUGGAACUAUGUUCUCUGAGAUACCUCUGCCAUUUGGCUCUUCUUCCUGCAUAUCUGCUGCUGAACUGGACAACCCCUUCACUGGAAUCCGCCAGGAAUAAAUCACCCCAAACAAGCAUUUGUGAAUGAAGUACCAGUUACAAAAUUGGUGGGGCCCUGGCCCGGUGGCUCAGUUGGUUGGAGCAUCAUCCCCAUGCACCAAAAGUUUGCAGGUUUGAUCUCUGGU